CGGUUACAUAAUAUGUAUAGUGGAUGUACAUUUAAUAACAAAUCACAUUUAUCAAUAAUAUGAUAAUAAUUGGAAGGGUAAGGGAAGAGUCACAUAAGUUGUCUCAUGAAAAAAAUACAGCCAGAACCGCCACUUUUGAGUUUUGUUUACAUUCGAUAUUUAGUUUGUUUGCAGCAGUCCGCGUAAACGUUGUAUACUUGUAUUUUUAUUCAUAUUUGUUUGAAUCGCGUUUUUUUCUAAAUACAUAUAAUAUAAAAAAAUGCCGAAAAAUUCUUUUGGUAGUUUUGUUAAAGAAUUUAGCGAACGUGUAGUUCAGUUCCAAAGGUAAAGUGCUAUUUUGUGUCCGCAUUUAAACGGUUUUUGGUCACACAACACUUGAAAACUGCAAAGCAAAGUGCAACCGUUAUUAACAGGAAAAUAAAAAAAAAGAAUGAUUUUAACUGUGAUCUCUCACUCGAGCUUUACUUUCGGCUAACAUUGCACUCAACAAGCUGUACGAGUCUUCUGGCUUGAAGAAAUAAACAAGACGGAACUUUAAAAUACCACCCAAAGUAAUAAUGACUGCGCAAGAAUCGAAUAGGACGGAC